UUUUUAUUGGAUGAUGACUAUCACGUGUCAUAUUUUGAUUGGAUGUCAACUCCAUGAAAGAUGAAAUGUAUUAUUGUUUUCAUUAACCAAUAAGAAUAUAACAAGUAACUGGAAAACAAAC
rfam:Glycine max cultivar Williams 82 chromosome 7, whole genome shotgun sequence.